AGUCAUCCUACAUGUCACUACAAAGCCAUGCUGUCCUGCAGCAGGUGUCACUGUGUCAUUCUACUACUGCUGUUUGAAAUUAUAAAUAGUUUUUCACCAAUACAA